rnacentral:rRNA from 1 species
AACAAACGCUGGCGGCGUGCCUAAUACAUGCAAGUCGAACGGGGAAAGCUUUCGGGUGAGUACUAGUGGCGCACGGGUGAGGAACGCGUGGAUAAUCUGCCUUAGAGUGGGGGAUAACUAGUCGAAAGAUUAGCUAAUACCGCAUAAGACCACAGGAGCUGCGGCUCAAGGGGUCAAAGGUUUUUCGCUCUAAAAUGAGUCCGCGUAAGAUUAGCUAGUUGGCGAGGUAACGGCUCACCAAGGCGACGAUCUUUAACUGGUCUGAGAGGAUGAUCAGUCACACUGGAACUGAGACACGGUCCAGACUCCUACGGGAGGCAGCAGUAGGGAAUAUUGCACAAUGGAGGAAACUCUGAUGCAGCGACGCCGCGCGAGUGAUGAAGGCCUUCGGGUCGUAAAGCUCUGUCGCAGGGGAAUAACACAAUGAAUGUACCCUGUAAGAAAGGAUCGGCUAACUUCGUGCCAGCCGCCGCAGUAAUAC